GUGCUCGCUUCAGCAUCACAUAUACUAAAAUUGGAAUGAUACAGAGAAGAUUCACCAGGCCCCUGCACCACGAUGACAGACAAAUUCGUGAAGUGUUCUGCAAUGUG
ensembl:snRNA U6 U6 spliceosomal RNA